AUUCGCAGCAUGAGAACUUCAGGAAAAAGCAGAUUGAAGAGCUGAAGGGACAAGAAGUUAGUCCUAAAGUGUACUUCAUGAAGCAGACCAUUGGGAAUUCCUGUGGCACAAUCGGACUUAUUCACGCAGUGGCCAAUAAUCAAGAUAAACUGGGAUUUGAGGAUGGAUCAGUUCUGAAACAGUUUCUUUCUGAAACAGAGAAAAUGUCCCCUGAAGACAGAGCAAAAUGCUUUGAAAAGAAUGAGGUAAGAGAACUUUCAGAGUAUUGGCUUUAAAUAACUCUAGAGAUUUUUGUGCUAAUUAUUUUCUUUUUUCCGCAGGCCAUACAGGCAGCCCAUGAUGCCGUGGCACAGGAAGGCCAAUGUCGGGUAGAUGACAAGGUGAAUUUCCAUUUUAUUCUGUUUAACAACGUGGAUGGCCACCUCUAUGAACUUGAUGGACGAAUGCCUUUUCCGGUGAACCAUGGCGCCAGUUCAGAGGACACCCUGCUGAAGGACGCUGCCAAGGUCUGCAGAGAAUUCACCGAGCGUGAGCAAGGAGAAGUCCGCUUCUCUGCUGUGGCUCUCUGCAAGGCAGCCUAAUGCUCUGUGGGAGGGACUUGCUGAUUUCCCCUCUUCCCUUCAACAUGAAAAUAUAUACCCCCCCAUGCAGUCUAAAAUGCUUCAGUACUUGUGAAACACAGCUGUUCUUCUGUUCUGCAGACACGCCUUCCCCUCAGCCACACCCAGGCACUUAAGCACAAGCAGAGUGCACAGCUGUCCACUGGGCCAUUGUGGUGUGAGCUUCAGAUGGUGAAGCAUUCUCCCCAGUGUAUGUCUUGUAUCCGAUAUCUAACGCUUUAAAUGGCUACUUUGGUUUCUGUCUGUAAGUUAAGACCUUGGAUGUGGUUUAAUUGUUUGUCCUCAAAAGGAAUAAAACUUUUCUGCUGAUAAGAUA
rnacentral:sRNA from 1 species